GUAGGGAAUAUUGGGCAAUGGAUGCAAGUCUGACCCAGCCAUGCCGCGUGGAGGAAGAAGGUCCUCUGGAUUGUAAACUCCUUUUUUGGGGGAAGAAUAGUUCUCUUGCGAGGGAAUGUGACGGUACCCUAAGAAUAAGCCACGGCUAACUACGUGCCAGCAGCCGCGGUAAUACGUAGGUGGCAAGCGUUGUCCGGAUUUAUUGGGUUUAAAGGGUGCGUAGGUGGUAUGAUAAGUCAGUGGUGAAAGCUGGUUGCUCAACAAUCAAGUUGCCAUUGAUACUGUCGGACUUGAGAGAAGUGGAGGUUCAUGUAAUGGAUGGUGUAGCGGUGAAAUGCAUAGAUAUCAUCCAGAACGUCGAUUGCGAAGGCAGUGGGCUGUACUUUAUCUGACACUGAGGCACGAAAGUGUGGGGAUCAAACAGGAUUAGAUACCCUAGUAGUCC
rnacentral:rRNA from 1 species